UACAGAGGGGGCAAGCGUUAUUCGGAAUUAUUGGGCGUAAAGGGCGCGUAGGCGGCCUGGCAAGUGGAAGGUGAAAUCCCUCGGCUUAACCGAGGAACUGCCCUCCAAACUGCUUGGCUUGAGUCCGGGAGAGGUGAGUGGAAUUCCCAGUGUAGCGGUGAAAUGCGCAGAUAUCGGGAAGAACACCUAUGGCGAAGGCAGCUCUCUGGGACGGUACUGACGCUGAGACGCGAAAGCGUGGGGAGCAAACAGG
rnacentral:rRNA from 1 species